rnacentral:rRNA from 1 species
GUACACUCCUGCGGGAGGCAGCAGUGGGGAAUUUUGGACAAUGGGCGAAAGCCUGAUCCAGCAAUGCCGCGUGAGUGAAGAAGGCCUUCGGGUUGUAAAGCUCUUUUGUCAGGGAAGAAACGGUGAAAGCUAAUAUCUUUUGCUAAUGACGGUACCUGAAGAAUAAGCACCGGCUAACUACGUGCCAGCAGCCGCGGUAAUACGUAGGGUGCAAGCGUUAAUCGGAAUUACUGGGCGUAAAGCGUGCGCAGGCGGUUUUGUAAGUCUGAUGUGAAAUCCCCGGGCUCAACCUGGGAAUUGCAUUGGAGACUGCAAGGCUAGAAUCUGGCAGAGGGGGGUAGAAUUCCACGUGUAGCAGUGAAAUGCGUAGAUAUGUGGAGGAACACCGAUGGCGAAGGCAGCCCCCUGGGUCAAGAUUGACGCUCAUGCACGAAAGCGUGGGGAGCAAAGAGGAUUAGAAACCCCUGUAGUCCCAUG